rnacentral:rRNA from 1 species
UACAGAGGGUGCAAGCGUUAAUCGGAAUUACUGGGCGUAAAGGGCGCGUAGGCGGAGUAUUAAGUUAGAUGUGAAAUCCCUGGGCUUAACCUGGGAAUGGCAUUUAAUACUGAUAAUCUAGAGUAGAGUAGAGGGAAGUGGAAUUUCCGGUGUAGCGGUGAAAUGCGUAGAUAUCUGGAGGAACACCGGUGGCGAAGGCGGCGUCCUGGACCAACACUGACACUGAGGAGCGAAAGCCAGGGGAGCAAACGGG